rnacentral:lncRNA from 1 species
AUAGGAUAGGUAGUGAGUUCAGGUAGCCUGCUGGAGAUGCCCUAAUUUAUUGGGUUCCUCUUGCCCUAACCUAGUGUCAGUCCGUCCAUAUAUCUCUUUCUUCUGUAACUACCAUAGUGAGGCCUCACACCCUAUAGCCACCGCUGAAAAUCUAAGUUUAGUUUUAAAUAAUUGAUGAGACCCAAGUAUUAACCUCCAUGCCAAGUGUGUAAAUUAGAUGAGGUUGGUACAUAUCAAGUGGUGGAGCCUGGAGGAUCAUGGUGAUGUUGGUGAUGACUAUAAGGUGAUCAAGUGCUCAACUUAAAAAGAAAAAAGAGAAAAACAAAAUCCUAUGAAGAUCAAGGCAAAGAUAUAAAUAUGAUGUUGGUUUUGGUGAUCAAGACAUCUUAGAGGGUGUGAUCACAUAUAGAAUAGAUAGCUGUACUAUAAAGAGGGAAAUUCUUUGGCUAAGCAGUCUAUCGAGUGCCACUAGGUGAUAUUGUUUAUUGUUGACGGU